UGGGGAAUAUUGCACAAUGGGCGCAAGCCUGAUGCAGCCAUGCCGCGUGUAUGAAGAAGGCCUUCGGGUUGUAAAGUACUUUCAGUCGGGAGGAAGGUGGUAAGGUUAAUAACCUUAUCAAUUGACGUUACCGACAGAAGAAGCACCGGCUAACUCCGUGUCAGCAGCCGCGGUAAUACGGAGGGUGCAAGCGUUAAUCGGAAUUACUGGGCGUAAAGCGCACGCAGGCGGUUGAUUGAGUCAGAUGUGAAAUCCCCGGGCUUAACCCGGGAAUUGCAUCUGAUACUGGUCAGCUAGAGUCUUGUAGAGGGGGGUAGAAUUCCAUGUGUAGCGGUGAAAUGCGUAGAGAUGUGGAGGAAUACCGGUGGCGAAGGCGGCCUCCUGGACAAAGACUGACGCUCAGGUGCGAAAGCGUGGGGAGCAAACAGG
rnacentral:rRNA from 1 species